rnacentral:hammerhead_ribozyme from 1 species
AUCCAACUGACGAGUCCCAAACAAGACGAAAUGCGCGUCCAGGAU